rnacentral:rRNA from 1 species
UUAAGCGACCAAGCGUACACGGUGGAUGCCCUGGCAGUCAGAGGCGAUGAAGGACGUGCUAAUCUGCGAAAAGCGCCGGUAAGGUGAUAUGAACCGUUAUAACCGGCGAUGUCCGAAUGGGGAAACCCAGUGUGAUUCGUCACACUAUCAUUAACUGAAUCCAUAGGUUAAUGAGGCGAACCGGGGGAACUGAAACAUCUAAGUACCCCGAGGAAAAGAAAUCAACCGAGAUUCCCCCAGUAGCGGCGAGCGAACGGGGAGCAGCCCAGAGCCUGAAUCAGCAUGUGUGUUAGUGGAAGCGUCUGGAAAGGCGCGCGAUACAGGGUGACAGCCCCGUACACAAAAGCGCAUGUGCUGUGAGCUCGAUGAGUAGGGCGGGACACGUGGUAUCCUGUCUGAAUAUGGGGGGACCAUCCUCCAAGGCUAAAUACUCCUGACUGACCGAUAGUGAACCAGUACCGUGAGGGAAAGGCGAAAAGAACCCCGGCGAGGGGAGUGAAACAGAACCUGAAACCGUGUACGUACAAGCAGUGGGAGCACAGGUUUACCUGUGUGACUGCGUACCUUUUGUAUAAUGGGUCAGCGACUUAUAUUCUGUAGCAAGGUUAACCGAAUAGGGGAGCCGGAGGGAAACCGAGUCUUAAUUGGGCGUUAAGUUGCAGGGUAUAGACCCGAAACCCGGUGAUCUAGCCAUGGGCAGGUUGAAGGUUGGGUAACACUAACUGGAGGACCGAACCGACUAAUGUUGAAAAAUUAGCGGAUGACCUGUGGCUGGGGGUGAAAGGCCAAUCAAACCGGGAGAUAGCUGGUUCUCCCCGAAAGCUAUUUAGGUAGCGCCUCGUGAAUUCAUCUCCGGGGGUAGAGCACUGUUUCGGCCAGGGGGCCAUCCCGGCUUACCAACCCGAUGCAAACUGCGAAUACCGGAGAAUGUUAUCACGGGAGACACACGGCGGGUGCUAACGUCCGUCGUGAAGAGGGAAACAACCCAGACCGCCAGCUAAGGUCCCAAAGUCAUGGUUAAGUGGGAAACGAUGUGGGAAGGCCCAGACAGCCAGGAUGUUGGCUUAGAAGCAGCCAUCAUUUAAAGAAAGCGUAAUAGCUCACUGGUCGAGUCGGCCUGCGCGGAAGAUGUAACGGGGCUAAACCAUGCACCGAAGCUGCGGCAGCGAACGUAUCACUUAAAGCGAUUCAGCGGAUGACGAUUGACGGAGCGAAGCGACGUCAAAGCGUUUUACAAAGUCGAGUCGGUUUAAGGAUACGUUCGUUGGGUAGGGGAGCGUUCUGUAAGCCUGCGAAGGUGGCCUGUGAGGGUUGCUGGAGGUAUCAGAAGUGCGAAUGCUGACAUAAGUAACGAUAAUGCGGGUGAAAAACCCGCACGCCGGAAGACCAAGGGUUCCUGUCCAACGUUAAUCGGGGCAGGGUGAGUCGACCCCUAAGGCGAGGCCGAAAGGCGUAGUCGAUGGGAAACGGGUUAAUAUUCCCGUACCUGGUGUUACUGCGAAGGGGGGACGGAGAAGGCUAUGUUGGCCGGGCGACGGUUGUCCCGGUUUAAGCGUGCAGGUGUGUGUUCCAGGAAAAUCCGGUUCACUUUAACACUGAGGCGUGACGACGAGGCACUACGGUGCUGAAGCAACAAAUGCCCUGCUUCCAGGAAAAGCCUCUAAGCCUCAGGUAACAUCAGAUCGUACCCGAAACCGACACAGGUGGUCAGGUAGAGAAUACCAAGGCGCUUGAGAGAACCCGGGUGAAGGAACUAGGCAAAAUGGUGCCGUAACUUCGGGAGAAGGCACGCUGACAUGUAGGUGAAGCGGUUUACCCGUGGAGCUGAAGUCAGUCGAAGAUACCAGCUGGCUGCAACUGUUUAUUAAAAACACAGCACUGUGCAAACACGAAAGUGGACGUAUACGGUGUGACGCCUGCCCGGUGCCGGAAGGUUAAUUGAUGGGGUCAGCGCAAGCGAAGCUCCUGAUCGAAGCCCCGGUAAACGGCGGCCGUAACUAUAACGGUCCUAAGGUAGCGAAAUUCCUUGUCGGGUAAGUUCCGACCUGCACGAAUGGCGUAAUGAUGGCCAGGCUGUCUCCACCCGGGACUCAGUGAAAUUGAACUCGCUGUGAAGAUGCAGUGUACCCGCGGCAAGACGGAAAGACCCCGUGAACCUUUACUAUAGCUUGACACUGAACACUGGUCCUUGAUGUGCAGGAUAGGUGGGAGGCUUUGAAGUGUGGACGCCAGUCUGCAUGGAGCCGUCCUUGAAAUACCACCCUUUAAUGGCUGGUGUUCUAACGUAGACCCGUGAACCGGGUUGCGGACAGUGUCUGGUGGGUAGUUUGACUGGGGCGGUCUCCUCCUAAAGCGUAACGGAGGAGCACGAAGGUUGGCUAAUCCUGGUCGGACAUCAGGAGGUUAGUGCAAUGGCAUAAGCCAGCUUGACUGCGAGCGUGACGGCGCGAGCAGGUGCGAAAGCAGGUCAUAGUGAUCCGGUGGUUCUGAAUGGAAGGGCCAUCGCUCAACGGAUAAAAGGUACUCCGGGGAUAACAGGCUGAUACCGCCCAAGAGUUCAUAUCGACGGCGGUGUUUGGCACCUCGAUGUCGGCUCAUCACAUCCUGGGGCUGAAGUAGGUCCCAAGGGUAUGGCUGUUCGCCAUUUAAAGUGGUACGCGAGCUGGGUUUAGAACGUCGUGAGACAGUUCGGUCCCUAUCUGCCGUGGGCGCUGGAGAACUGAGGGGGGCUGCUCCUAGUACGAGAGGACCGGAGUGGACGCAUCACUGGUGUUCGGGUUGUCAUGCCAAUGGCACUGCCCGGUAGCUAAAUGCGGAAGAGAUAAGUGCUGAAAGCAUCUAAGCACGAAACUUGCCCCGAGAUGAGUUCUCCCUGAGACUACAAGUCUCCUGAAGGAACGUUGAAGACGACGACGUUGAUAGGCCGGGUGUGUAAGCGCAGCGAUGCGUUGAGCUAACCGGUACUAAUGAACCGUGAGGCUUAACCUU